rnacentral:rRNA from 1 species
AUUGAACGCUGGCGGCAUGCCUUACACAUGCAAGUCGAACGGUAACGGGCCUUCGGGUGCCGACGAGUGGCGAACGGGUGAGUAAUACAUCGGAACGUGCCCGAUCGUGGGGGAUAACGAGGCGAAAGCUUUGCUAAUACCGCAUACGAUCUACGGAUGAGAGCAGGGGACCGCAAGGCCUUGCGCGGGCGGAGCGGCCGAUGGCAGAUUAGGUAGUUGGUGGGAUAAAAGCUUACCAAGCCGACGAUCUGUAGCUGGUCUGAGAGGAUGAUCAGCCACACUGGGACUAAGACACGGCCCAGACUCCUACGGGAGGCAGCAGUGGGGAAUUUUGGACAAUGGGCGCAAGCCUGAUCCAGCCAUGCCGCGUGCAGGAUGAAGGCCUUCGGGUUGUAAACUGCUUUUGUACGGAACGAAAAGCCUUCUUUUAAUACAGGAGGGUCAUGACGGUACCGUAAGAAUAAGCACCGGCUAACUACGUG